rnacentral:lncRNA from 1 species
AGUUACUGCCACCCUCUCCCAGGUCUAGAGAGGGGUACCCACGGUGGAGGGAGGUGGGAGGCCGAGACGGCCCCGGGGGUCGGCGGAGACCCAGCGGGAGCAGGGGGAAAUCGGAAGAGCUGGGGGCAUGGAGCGGGCGAGUUUGGAGCGGAAUGAGCCGGGAGCCCUACGUUGUGGAAGGAAGACAACAGUAUAGGACCAUCAGCAGGACCGGACAGAGAGGGGCACCCCUGGCUGUCCUGGAACUUGUAGACCAGGCUGGCCUUGAACUCAGAAAUCCGCCUGCCUCUGACUCCCGAGUGCUGAGAUUAAAGGUGUGCACCACCACACCCGACAAGGAAGCCUGUUUUAAGAAGUGAUUCCAUGGAGGAGUUCUGCGGCGGCUCAGGGCUUGACUAAACAGUGGACCUCAGGGUCCCAUUUCUCUCAGUAGACAAGAGAGGCUAAACCAGGCUGCAGGUGACAGGAAGAAUUGAAUAAACUGAAAGCAAAGGGCAGCCUUCUAAUUACGCUUCGUGGCUAUGUGGACAACCUGGAGAAGUCUGGAAACAAAGAAGCCAGAAGCCCGAAGCCAGCAGUAGAGCUCUGACUGGCUUGUAUGCCUAGAAAGGAAGGGCUCUUCUUUCGCCUCACGGGCACAAAUGGGACCCACGAGCGCCGAUUUCAGACUAUUCUGAUCCCUUCAAAAAGAAAGUUAGGAGUCCAGGCUACUGUGAGUGAAUUUGAUUCUAAUUGUUUCAGAGAAUAUGGAAUAAAAUAUCUCAUUUGCA